rnacentral:rRNA from 1 species
UACGAAGGGGGGCUAGCGUUGUUCGGAAUUACUGGGCGUAAAGCGCACGUAGGCGGAUUUGUAAGUCAGGGGUGAAAUCCCGGGGCUCAACCUCGGAACUGCCUUUGAUACUGCAAGUCUCGAGUCCGAUAGAGGUGAGUGGAAUUCCUAGUGUAGAGGUGAAAUUCGUAGAUAUUAGGAAGAACACCAGUGGCGAAGGCGGCUCACUGGAUCGGUACUGACGCUGAGGAGCGAAAGCGUGGGGAGCGAACAGG